rnacentral:rRNA from 1 species
AGCUGAUCACUGGGCGUAAAGCGUGCAGGCGGUUUUGUAAGACAGAGGUGAAAUCCCCGGGCUCAACCUGGGAACUGCCUUUGUGACCGCAAGGCUGGAGUGCGGCAGAGGGGGAUGGAAUUCCGCGUGUAGCAGUGAAAUGCGUAGAUAUGCGGAGGAACACCGAUGGCGAAGGCAAUCCCCUGGGCCUGCACUGACGCUCAUGCACGAAAGCGUGGGGAGCAAACA